rnacentral:SRP_RNA from 1 species
GCCUGCAAUCCAAGUCACUGGGAGGCUGAGGUUGGUGGAUCGAGUGAGCUGAGGAGCUCUGGGCUGUAACGCGUUGUUGAACAGGUGUCCUCACUAAGAUCGAUAUGGUGCUCCUGGGGGAGUCUGGUACCACCAGGUCGGCUAUAGAGGGGUUGCACUAGCCCAGGUUGGAAACUAAGCAGGUCAAAGGCCACAUGCUGUCCAGCAGUGGGAUAGUGCCUGCGAGUACAUGUUAAAAAUAUCUACUUCAUGGUGGCAACUGCCUCUG